GAACGCCACGGACUACCUGUGCAACAGGUUCGCCGACACCACGUCGGCGGUGGACUCCACGUACCUGCUCUUCUCGGCCUACCUCGUCUUCGCCAUGCAGCUCGGCUUCGCCAUGCUCUGCGCGGGCUCCGUCCGGGCCAAGAACACCAUGAACAUCAUGCUCACCAACGUGCUCGACGCCGCCGCCGGCGCGCUCUUCUACUACCUCUUCGGCUUCGCCUUCGCCUUCGGCACCCCGUCCAACGGGUUUAUCGGGAAGCACUUCUUCGGCCUCAAGGACAUGCCGCAGACCGGCUUCGACUACAGCUUCUUCCUCUUCCAGUGGGCCUUCGCCAUCGCCGCCGCCGGCAUCACCUCGGGCUCCAUCGCCGAGAGGACGCAGUUCGUCGCCUACCUCAUCUACUCGGCCUUCCUCACCGGGUUCGUCUACCCGGUCGUGUCCCACUGGAUCUGGUCCGUGGACGGCUGGGCCUCGGCGGCCCGCACGUCCGGCCCGCUGCUCUUCAAGUCCGGGGUGAUCGACUUCGCCGGCUCCGGCGUCGUGCACAUGGUGGGCGGCAUCGCCGGCUUCUGGGGCNAGAUGUCGGCGACGUGCGCGGCGGACCUGGGGCCGCUGCUGGGUGCGGCGGCGGCGAACGCCACGGACUACCUGUGCAACAGGUUCGCCGACACCACGUCGGCGGUGGACUCCACGUACCUGCUCUUCUCGGCCUACCUCGUCUUCGCCAUGCAGCUCGGCUUCGCCAUGCUCUGCGCGGGCUCCGUCCGGGCCAAGAACACCAUGAACAUCAUGCUCACCAACGUGCUCGACGCCGCCGCCGGCGCGCUCUUCUACUACCUCUUCGGCUUCGCCUUCGCCUUCGGCACCCCGUCCAACGGGUUUAUCGGGAAGCACUUCUUCGGCCUCAAGGACAUGCCGCAGACCGGCUUCGACUACAGCUUCUUCCUCUUCCAGUGGGCCUUCGCCAUCGCCGCCGCCGGCAUCAC
rnacentral:lncRNA from 1 species